rnacentral:rRNA from 1 species
CCCUUAGAUGUCCUGGGCCGCACGCGCGCUACACUGAUGCAUUCAACGAGUUUUACCUUGGCCGAGAGGCCUGGGCAAUCUUUUAAGCCUGCAUCGUGAUAGGGAUAGAUUAUUGCAAUUAUUAAUCUUGAACGAGGAAUUCCUAGUAAACGCAAAUCAUCAAUUUGCAUUGAUUACGUCCCUGCCCUUUGUACACACCGCCCGUCGCACCUACCGAUUGAAUGGUCCGGUGAAGCCUCGGGAUUGUGGCCAGUUCACUUUAUUGGGAGUUGGCUGUGAGAACUUGUCUAAACCUUAUCAUUUAGAGGAAGGUGAAGUCGUAACA